ACGCACGCUGGCGGCGUGCUUAACACAUGCAAGUCGAACGGAAAGGCCCUGCUUUUGUGGGGUGCUCGAGUGGCGAACGGGUGAGUAACACGUGAGUAACCUGCCCUUGACUUUGGGAUAACUUCAGGAAACUGGGGCUAAUACCGGAUAGGAGCUCCUGCUGCAUGGUGGGGGUUGGAAAGUUUCGGCGGUUAGGGAUGGACUCGCGGCUUAUCAGCUUGUUGGUGGGGUAGUGGCUUACCAAGGCUUUGACGGGUAGCCGGCCUGAGAGGGUGACCGGCCACAUUGGGACUGAGAUACGGCCCAGACUCCUACGGGAGGCAGCAGUGGGGAAUAUUGCACAAUGGGCGGAAGCCUGAUGCAGCAACGCCGCGUGCGGGAUGACGGCCUUUGGGUUGUAAACCGCUUUCGCCUGUGACGAAGCGUGAGUGACGGUAAUGGGUAAAGAAGCACCGGCUAACUACGUG
rnacentral:rRNA from 1 species